rnacentral:lncRNA from 1 species
AAGUUCCGGCUGAUAGCGAGAAAACGAAGAUUCUUCAGUUGGAAGAGGGACUGCGGCAAAGCUCCAAACACUCGACCAGGCACAAUGGUGAACUCCGUGAGUGAAGAGAGCUUACCAAUGGCAGAAUCAAUCCGGCCAACCAAACCAGGUGAACCAGCACGCGGAUCCCCUAGGUUUAGGGCAACAACCUUGUCAGAAUCACAAAAAACACCGGCGAAAUUACAAGGAUCAGCCGUGAAAUCCCAAGAGGCGAAGAAAUUAGAGCCAGGCAAAUCCUCUAAACCCUUCCGUAUCGAUUGAAGAGCCAAAAAAUCAAUCGGAUCCAAAAUCGCCUCAGAAGACCAACAGCAUUGCACCAAACACAACAAAAUCACAACAAAACUCCUCAUUCUCAUCCUCAAAUCCCUCUGUUACUUCUCUUCCGCCACUAGAGCAGCAGCAGCAAGCUCUGAGAGAUAGGAACAAAACAGCACAAACACAAUACAAUUAUAUAUAGUGCAAUCAACUGAAUACUUUAAGAACUCUUUCCCGUGAGAAACAAAACAAAAGAGGUUGAAAAAGAAGGAAGAUAUCUCGUGAGAAACCUCUAAAUUAAUGGCGGAAACCUGCAAAAAAGAAAGAUCAAAAACGAAAAACUCCAAAACCCGCGAGAUCGAUUAGCUUCAAAGAGACGCAAACAGAGAAAAGAUCACAGAAUCUUCAAACCAAAAAAAAUAAAUAAAAGAAAGAAAGAAAAAGGAUUAAAAUCUCUAAUCACUGUACUGUAUUUGCUUUAGGAAGAACUUCAAAAGCUUCGUAGAGAAGAUUCAAUGGCUAUAAUCCAGAGCCUCUCUCAGUUUCUACAAACCAAGAAACGCUUUCUCUUCUCUUUUUUUUUCUUUAAUGGCGGAAUAUUUAUUUAUUUGUUUGUUUGUUAAUUAUAUAAACAUAUUUUUGUUUUUGUUUAGGUUCGGAGUCAAACGGUUGUCCGAGCCAACUUGAGGGAGUCCGAGGCAUGAGGUUUGGAGGAGAGGUUAUUGGCUUUUGAGACAGUGGUCACGUGGUGGAGAGGGUGGUUUGGUUGGGGAAGAAGAGACAGAGAGGUCAUAAAGCGUGACGGCCGUGAACUUUUAGUUGACGUGGACUUGACGACGUUAAGUUAUAAUAGUCACGCGAAAAUGCACUUUGGGAUGUGACAUUGACAGUUGUAAGCCUAAGAGGAUCUGCCACGUCGGAUGUUCAAAUAAUCUGUACGAUGUAAACGGUCGUAGAGGAGUUUUUCUUGUCUUUUCCUUUGGAUUUAGGGUUUAGGAGUUUUUUUUUUUUAUUAGGGUUUAGAGCUUUCUCUCUCUCUCUCUCUCUUUUUAAUAUUGCAAA